AACAGCAGUUCUAGCACGAUCACCGAAGUUAAGUAACGUCGAGCUUGGUCAGUACCUAGAUGAGUGACCGCUUGGGAAUACUAGAUGCUGCAA